UACGUAGGCAGCGAGCGUUGUUCGGAGUUACUGGGCGUAAAGGGUGUGUAGGCGGUUGUUUAAGUUUGGUGUGAAAUCUCCCGGCUCAACUGGGAGGGUGCGCCGAAUACUGAAUGACUUGGAGUGCGGGAGAGGAAAGUGGAAUUCCUGGUGUAGCGGUGAAAUGCGCAGAUAUCAGGAAGAACACCUAUGGCGAAGGCAGCUCUCUGGGACGGUACUGACGCUGAGACGCGAAAGCGUGGGGAGCGAACAGG
rnacentral:rRNA from 1 species